CACCUGCCGGGGAGCAGCCUCUACUGCUCCUGUAAAUCAUCUACCAUUAACGGGGGGAACAUAAGCCCAUGAAUAUACAUAAAGGCACAGUUGCUUUAAGAAGAGCUGGCAGGAGUUCUGCUCACAUGUGCAGUGGGUGACACUUCAGCCACCGACAGGCUCAUGGGACACCCCUGCCUGGCAUCCUAGUCCUGGUCCUCACCAUCAGUGUUGCCAGCAGAGGGAAAGGUUUGCCGAGAAAGCAAUAGAUGAACAUACAUAGACAGAAGUUGAAGCAAAACAGAAUUACCAAACUCACCUCAAAUCAGCGCGGCCAAAGACAGAAGGAAAACUCCUGGUUCGGCCAUAACAGAAAGAAAAUACAACUUUGUAAGCUUGGUCCUCAGAAGACAGAACUAGACCUGUUUGUAUCUUAUUUAGCGUAAAUAGAUAGAUUCUGUGUAAGGCUGGCAUGUAACACUUGAAAGAAGAAAACCAAUGAAGUCACCACAACAUGAACUACCUUGAAAUUACCUAUAGCUGAACUGAUUUCCCCUAUAGGUCCCUGAUUUUGCUGGAGGGGGCAGUGGUUUUCUUAGAGCAGGCAAAAUGGAUCGGGAUGGCAAUAAGGAAAAAUAAUUUGACACGGCAGUGGUUACUGAACAUGGUUUGAGGCCACCUGGCUCUACUUUCAAGAAGAUUUCUUCCCUGCUAGAAUCAAGUACAAAUACUUCUUGAUCUAUACAUAGUGAGAAUCAGCUUCCUAUAUCAAACUUACUUAAGGAAUUGCCAAUGAAAAGGUCAGUGUGGUGAAAAGGGUGAGGGCUUCUAUAGGUUAACACAGAGGAUCAGCUACUCAAAUCAUAGCAUCAUUUAGGUUGGAAAAGACUUUUAAGAUCACUGUAAGAAAGUUUUUCUAACCAUGACACCUAAUUUAGUCUGUUUGCAGGUUUUGAACAACUUUGGGCAACAAGCUUUGGGGUUUUUUUGAAACACAAACGGCAAUAUUUAUGUUUGCUAAUUGCACUGGGUGGCUUUGCUAGGGGAAAGAUUGUUCUUGCAAGCAGAAGGAAGCUAUUAUGAGUAGCACUAGGCACCCAAAGCUGCCAUUUACAUUCUCCAUGUAGUUAUUCACUCUUCUAAGCCCACAGUUGCUCUGCACUGAUGCAGUUUUGCCACUGGAGGCCACAGGGCAAAUGAAAAGCAUUGGGCCAGAAGCAGCUCUGAGCCUCUCAGCCCUGGUGAGCCCAAGGGCUGUGCUGGCGGGACACAGGGCUGUUCGAGCUCUUCGGUGGGGACUGCUCUGGGGGGAGAAGUGCACCCUGAUGAGUCUGAUCCUGUCCCAGACCUCUGAUUUCAGAAAUUAUUUGCUGUUAAUGCAUUGCUUGGUAUUGCAGAAACACAUGAUAAAACACAAGUUGUGUGUUGAUACCAAUUUUGUGAGGAGAAGGAAGGACAUUUAGUUCUUGCCUAUAAACUGCUUUUAAAACUACAUGCAGUUAUUAAAUUGUGUGUACUGCUAAGGGGAACAAAUUAUUUGCGUGAAGACAAGGAUCUGAGUCUCUGUAAUGCCCCAGGAGACUCUUGGGGAAAAAAAGGGAAUAUGGGGAGAGAGAAAAUACGGCGAGAGGCACGUAAUGGGGUGGAGGGGGCCGUGUUAGGUGACAGGGGCAAGGCAGAAGCUGUUCUGGAGGAAGAGAGAGGUGG